rnacentral:rRNA from 1 species
GACGAACGCUGGCGGCGUGCUUAACACAUGCAAGUCACGGGGGCCCGCAAGGGCAACCGGCGAACGGGUGCGUAACACGUGAGCAAGCUUCCGAUUAGUGGGGGAUAGCCGGCCCAACGGCCGGGUAAUACCGCAUACGUUCACUGGACGGCAUCGUCUGGUGAGGAAACCUCCGGGGCUAAUCGAGGCGCUCGCGGCCUAUCAGCUAGUUGGCGGGGUAACGGCCCACCAAGGCUAUGACGGGUAGCUGGUCUGAGAGGAUGGCCAGCCACAUUGGGACGGCGACACGGCCCAGACUCCUACGGGAGGCAGCAGUGGGGAAUAUUGCGCAAUGGACGAAAGUCUGACGCAGCGACGCCGCGUGUGGGAUGAAGCUCUUCGGGGUGUAAACCACUGUUGCCCGGGACGAACCUCCCCUUUCGAGGGGACUGACGGUACCGGGUGAGGAAGCACCGGCUAACUCUGUGCCAGCAGCCGCCGUAAGAC